rnacentral:lncRNA from 1 species
GCUGGGGGGGCCGGGGCUGGGCCGCGGGCGCCUCCACGGGGGGCAGCAGAGAGCGCCCGGCCCGGGCGGCGUGCGGGCGGCGGGUGUCUUCGAAGCGCCUCCUCCCAGGACGCCGCCGUCUCGAAGCGACUCGUCCCCAUCUCGUGUCCUCGACGCCCCUUCCCACGUACUCGCAAAGGCUGCCAGGCACUCCCGGGACUAGUCAGGUGGCUUCGGCGACAGAGGCAGGGAUGACGCUUGGUGGAGGGAAUGCAACUAUCUUUCAAGUUAAGCUUUCGAGUAGGGGUCGAGGUUCCCAUACUCUGGCACCCUCCCGUUAAUCUUCUUUAGGAAGAUGAAGACACUGAGCCACAAGAAGAUAAAGUAACUUAACAAGCCCACACAGCUAGGAAGUUGUAGGACCAGGCAGUCUGCCUUCAGUAUCAACAAGGCAAAAUCGACUGAGCUUGGGUCGACUUUAGUUUAAGAGAAACAUCAUUGGGCUGCCAUAAAAGAAAAAGACCCAAUUAACUGACCAGCCACCACCACCACCACCACAGUUGACUGGCACAACAGUCCUGCGCUGCUGAAAAUGCCUGCAUGCAUCUGUUAUCUUUACAGCCCGGAGCCUCCAAGGGCAGGAGAAAAACACCUACCUACCAAAGGGUCGGUUCCUGUUGUGAAAGGAUGACAAGCCACCUGGACAUGUUUCUUGGGACCAAAAUGGAC